rnacentral:misc_RNA from 1 species
GAAGUGCGAUAAGCAAUGCGAAUUGCAGAAUUCCGCGAGUCAUCAGAUCUUUGAACGCAAAUGGCGCCGGAGGGAUAUCCUUCUGGCAUGUCUGUUUCAGUGUCUGAGAGGUUUCACCAACAUCUUAAUGUGAUUGACAGCAGCAGCAGCAGCAAGCAAUUGUUGUGGUUGGUGUUGUCUCUCAUGAAAGAUGCGCGAGUGGAUCUUUCGGUCCAAUGAAGUGGUCACAUCACUCGUAUGUGAUUUCAUUGGGAGCACCGAAUUAUCCGCCAUGCUCGCGGUGUCAUCAUAUAAUAUAUGACGAAAGCAAGAAAGAAAGAAAGAGCUUCUUUCUUCUUCUUCUUCUUUGGUUGUAUUUUUUUUCUCUCUAUACACCCUGCAUCUGAGAUAGGCAAGGUCACCCGCUGAACUUAAGC